rnacentral:rRNA from 1 species
GAUGAACGCUGGCGGCGUGCCUAAUACAUGCAAGUCGAGCGAACAGACGAGGAGCUUGCUCCUCUGACGUUAGCGGCGGACGGGUGAGUAACACGUGGAUAACCUACCUAUACGACUGGGAUAACUUCGGGAAACCGGAGCUAAUACCGGAUAAUAUAUUGAACCGCAUGGUUCAAUAGUGAAAGACGGUUUUGCUGUCACUUAUAGAUGGAUCCGCGCCGCAUUAGCUAGUUGGUAAGGUAACGGCUUACCAAGGCAACGAUGCGUAGCCGACCUGAGAGGGUGAUCGGCCACACUGGAACUGAGACACGGUCCAGACUCCUACGGGAGGCAGCAGUAGGGAAUCUUCCGCAAUGGGCGAAAGCCUGACGGAGCAACGCCGCGUGAGUGAUGAAGGUCUUCGGAUCGUAAAACUCUGUUAUUAGGGAAGAACAAAUGUGUAAGUAACUAUGCACGCCUUGACGGUACCUAAUCAGAAAGCCACGGCUAACUACGUG